CUUCUUCAUCGUUCCAAUCAAACCAGGAUGAAUGACUUUGUGAAAAGCUUGAUUUGGAUACAAAAAGUGGUGGAGAAUGUUGAACUGAAGAGAAGAUGGAGCUUGUUCAUAAAUAGGGCAAGCUCCAGAAGAUGUCCAGAAGAGUUCAAUCAAGCUUCAGGAGUGCCCUGAAGUAUCUAUCAUUGUGAAGUUAAGUCCAGGAGGGACUUAGACUGAUCUUAGGAAGGCUUUGGAGAAGUUUGGGAGAAGAUGGACGAAGGUACAAAGCUAGGGCAGCCGUACGGACAGUAUGGCCAUGUACGACCUUGUACGGCUAUGUACGGCCAUGGGAGAUUCACAAAGGAGUCUGGUUCAACCAAGAAGAGAGUUAGGGCAAUGUGCAAGAAUAGGGUGAGUGGUACGGACAGGAGGUCCGUACCAAUGACCUUACAACCAUGUGGGCGCACCAACAUGUUCCGGAUCAACCUAAAAUGGUGUUGUGCAAACUUAGGGUGCAAGAGAAGCUUGUCUGAUCAUUAUGGGCGUUGGAGGAUAAGGCAAGGGAAUAUUCCAAGGGAUAAAUGAGCUGUGUAUGCAAGCUGGAAAGGUAAAGGUGCUUUACCUUUACAGCCAAGACCAGUCUACACCAUCCAUUCAAAAGGAGCAAUCUGAGCUUUUCAUUUAAAUUAAAGACCAGCCAGCUAGCAUCAGAUCCUUGACUACAUCUCAUCCGCCCAUUUCAAACCAAAGGAUCUCCACUCUCCAUUUCUUAUCCUUAGCUUAGGGUUUCAUGAGUUUUGUAACCCAUUUUCUAUUUAAAGACCCUUUGAGGGCAAUUUGUAAUCUCUAAGAGAGAGAGGGGGAUUUCCCCUCCUCCUUCAUAAUCUUAUGAUACUUUGUCUCUCUAAACUCUCUAUUCUCUCAUUCUGAAUCUCUAUACACGUUCUCAGACUUGUUACCAAUCUCUUAGACUCUUAGACACCUAAACACCUAGACACAUAAACACUCAUUAGUCUCUCCUCUUCUCAAAUCGCUCCCAAGCUCUCUCUCUCUUUACCCAUUUGGGUUUCACACACACAUAUAACCUGAGUACUCUUAAAAUCUCAUAUGGUAUCAGAGCCAGGUUCAUCUGAACUUGGUUCUAGCUUCCGUACAAGUUCAAGCUCACUCCCAUGCCAUUUCCAAGCUGAUGAAGAGCUCAUGUCCAGCCUGUUGUUUAACCUCUUCAAGAUGAAGAUGUACUCAUCCAUGGCGUCCAGAAGCUGUCCUUGGUCGUUCUCCACUCUCUCAUGGUCGUCCUGAAGAAAGAAAGGCCAUUGGAAGCAUGUCCAAGCCAUUCCUAUUCACUGUCCAAGGAGAAAGGUGAAAGCUUUCACCUUGUACCUGAUUAUGGCGACUCAAACAUGAAGAGAAGAGGUGUCUUAGGCAUGGUGGGUUCAAGAGGAAGUCCAUGAAAGAAGGAGAUGUUGGAAGUGACACCAAAAGCUCAGAUCUUCCCAUGUACUAAGGAGUUUCAAGGAACUAACACUAGUUUCUUGGCUGUAAGGAAAUCUCUUUCUCUUGUAUAAAGCUUGAGUGUAUGAACAGGUUGUGAUGUUGUGAUGUGAUUGAAAACCUGAGGAUAUGUUUAAGAUUGCUAAAUGAAAAUUGUUUAGAAACUGUCCCAGGAUGCUUAAAGAGGCUUGUUUGAUGAUCGAGAAUGUUUGAAAUGCUUAAUCCCAGUUCUAAAAUGAAAUGACUUGUUAGGAUAGUAGAAUCUGCCUUAUCCAGCUUGCAUUCAUGAGUUAGAAACUGAUCAAGAUUAAUGCAUAUUGUCUUGUAGCUGUCUUAAAUUGAAGCAUUAGAUUCAUGUCUAAAUUGCUGAGUAAAGGAGCUUUAAAAGAAAAUGAAAAAUGCUUAAGUAACUUGUCUUGAAUCUGUUAGGAUCUUGCUUGUACUUAGAAAGUUUGCUUGCAAAGAUUAGAACUUGAUAUUGUCUUGUUUAAUCUGUUGCAUUGCUUGUGAUAUUGGGAAUCAAACUUGAUGAUUAAUCAAGGAUUGAUCCCAAUACUAUUGUGGCUUAUCUUUGCUGGAGUUUGAGUGUUGUUUCAGGUUCACAAGAUGUGUUCUUAGCUCACCAUUCAUCCAAGUUAAAAGAGGAAGACUUUGUCCAUUUGCGUGUGCAAUGGAGAGUUGUUACAAGAAGGGUAAAGGGCAGAUGGUUUUAAAACUCACAUAAGCUCACUGGGGUUAUGUGAGCUACCUAGCUACCCUUGGAGUUAUGCGACCUGUUCUUCUCCUUACCAUUGCAAGUAACUGAAGAAGAAGCCAACCGGGUCUAGGCAGUGGCGUGUCUAUUCAAGAGAGUGCUCAAACUAAGACAGAGCACUCUUGGCUGUGUGAAGAAGAAGGCUACUCUAUCAAGGUGGCUUCUAGUGUGAGGUGAUUGAAGAAGUAGCUGAAACUUCCACAAGCAUUCCAUCAUGGUGGCGAAUUCAGAAGGAUGAUUGCAAUGGUUUGUUGUUCCGGAUCAAGAGACUCUCACCUGCCCAAGCUUGGUUCUUACUAGACUUAGUUCCAAGCUUAAGAGGGAGUGUUGAAGAAGCUUCUAUGAUCCUAGAGAGAAGAAGAAGAAGUGAGGAUUCAAGUGGCGACAUUAAGAACCACUCCUUAUCAUCUUAAACAAGAGAGUACACAAAGAAGUGAUACACUGACAAGCCAAACCAAAGUGUAAAGACAAAGGUCUUGUGCCAUUGCAUAUCAUCACUAGGACAUGUUAGUCCAUAAUCUACAGGAAGUGUAGUGUGAUUGAUUAUGCAAUGAGAGAUGGCCAUUACAUAAUACCAUUGGACAAGUUUAGUCCUUAGUCUACAGGAAGUGUAGCAUGGGUAAUUAUGCAAUGAGAGAAGUGUCUUGUGAGUCUCUCUAUGGUGUUUCAAACACCCUAGUUCCUGGUUAAGGAAGAGAGUACACUCACAAGAAGAAAGCUAUCAUGAAAUAUUGAUGGUUAUAAGACCAUGGGGAGGCAUAGGAUCAUCACAAGCUUAGCUCCUUCUAGUCUCGGUUCUAAGCUUGAGGGGGAGUCUUAAUGCACAUGAUCCAUGGUCAGUCUUCUACAAAGGAUCAUCAGCUGGAGCUAUUCUAGGCAAUCUAAGGAAGAAGAAGCUGAUGUUGCCACUAAAUGGUGCAAUGGCCGAGUGGGAAACUCACCAAAACAAAAAGGAAAGUCUACUUAUCUAUCUUGCCACUAAAUGGUCCAAUGGCCGAGUGGGAAACUCACCAAAACAAAAAGGGAAGUCUACUUAUCUAUCUUGCUUAUAAAGACUGAUAUCAUGUUACUUAAGAUGAUAGACUUAUUUCCUUGAAAGAACUGGAUACAAUGUUGCUUAAUCUGAAAUGAUAGGUUUAUUUCCUAAAGAACUGAGGCAUUGUGUUCACAUUGUAUCAGGUACUUGUUAUCUUGAUAAGCAACUCCUAGGAGAUAUAAGUGAUACCUUCAGAGACUACUUGAGGGAGAUUCAAGUGGAGAGUCAAGCUGUGUAUGUUCAGAGACUACUUGAAGAAGAAUCUAGUGGAAAGUCAAGCUGUUUGGGAAACUCCAAAAUGUUCAUGGAACACUCCUCACCUAAACAAUAGGGAAGUAUCUUAAACUCAUGACAAUUCAAUUCAUUCAUCAUGUCAUUUUUUAAGCUUAAGAUGAUACUUAAAAUACUUUGAGUAAAAUGUGCUGCAUUAAUAAUGUAAUCUUAAGGGUCUUGAUAAGUACUGAUGCACCUUUGGGAUAAUGUAUCAGGUACCAUUGCUUGGGCAUCACUGAAGUGUUCCUGGUCGUUCCCUAGCUUCUCUAAGGAGGCUGUGAAGUCUGUUGAGAGGGGGAGACUCAAAUCAGGUCCAUGAACAGGGCAAGCCUAGUUUGAAUUAUUAUUCAGCCUCACCAAAGAUGGAACUGGUCGGUUCCUAGCCUUUCUAAGAUGGCUAAGAAGUCAGUUGAGAGGGGGAGUAUCAACCCGGCUACAUGAAGAGGCCAAGAAGUGUUUGAAGUGUGCACAAGCCUUGAAGAGUUGCUGCACCAGUUAGGCCACGAUCCAGAGUUCUUUGUGUCCAACCACACUGGUUCUAAGGCACAAAGGCUCAAUGGCCAAUCCCUAGGCCUUGGAGAUCUCUACUCUUUUUCCCUUGCAAGGUUUUGUCCCAAUGGGUUUUCCUUGUAAGGUUUUUAAUGAGGGAGACUCUUCAGGGUUCCAAUCUUGACUUAGGAUCUCCUAGAGUCAAACUUGACGGGGAGUGUUGAACUGAAGAGAAGAUGGAGCUUGUUCAUAAAUAGGGCAAGCUCUAGAAGAUGUCCAGAAGAGUUCAAUCAAGCUUCAGGAGUGCCCUGAAGUAUCUAUCAUUGUGAAGUUAAGUCCAGGAGGGACUUAGACUGAUCUUAGGAAGGCUUUGGAGAAGUUUGGGAGAAGAUGGACGAAGGUACAAAGCUAGGGCAGCCGUACGGACAGUACGGCCAUGUACGACCUUGUACGGCUAUGUACGGCCAUGGGAGAUUCACAAAGGAGUCUGGUUCAACCAAGAAGAGAGUUAGGGCAAUGUGCAAGAAUAGGGCGAGUGGUACGGACAGGAGGUCCGUACCAAUGACCUUACAACCAUGUGGGCGCACCAACAUGUUCCGGAUCAACCUAAAAUGGUGUUGUGCAAACUUAGGGUGCAAGAGAAGCUUGUCUGAUCAUUAUGGGCAUUGGAGGAUAAGGCAAGGGAAUAUUCCAAGGGAUAAAUGAGCUGUGUAUGCAAGCUGGAAAGGUAAAGGUGCUUUACCUUUACAGCCAAGACCAGUCUACACCAUCCAUUCAAAAGGAGCAAUCUGAGCUUUUCAUUUAAAAUUAAAGACCAGCCAGCUAGCAUCAGAUCCUUGACUACAUCUCAUCCGCCCAUUUCAAACCAAAGGAUCUCCACUCUCCAUUUCUUAUCCUUAGCUUAGGGUUUCAUGAGUUUUGUAACCCAUUUUCUAUUUAAAGACCCUUUGAGGGCAAUUUGUAAUCUCUAAGAGAGAGAGGGGAAUUUCCCCUCCUCCUUCAUAAUCUUAUGAUACUUUGUCUCUCUAAA